UGUAGUGACACUGCCGCGAACUGACGGAAUAGUUCGUUAAAGACUGUAGGUAUUGGAAUGGUAGGCAAAUCCGCCAAUCUAGCUGAACGUCGAUAGUACCGCAAGCCUUCGGGUAAGUGGAUGGCGCAGGUAAUCAGACUUCCAAGAAAAACCGCUAAGCUCCAGUCUAUAAAAACCCGUACCGCAAACCGACACAGGUAUCCGGGAAGAGAAUUCUAAGGUGCUCGAGUGAAUCAUGGCUAAGGAACUCGGCAAAAUGGCCCUGUAACUUCGGGAGAAGGGGCGCUGGUAGCAAUACCAGCCGCAGUGAAAAGGCCCAGGCGACUGUUUAACAAAAACACAUGGCUUUGCAAAAUCGAAAGAUGAAGUAUAAGGCCUGACACCUGCCCGGUGCUGGAAGGUUAAGAGGGGAUGUCAUACGCAAGUAGAAGCAUUGAAUCGAAGCCCCAGUAAACGGCGGCCGUAACAAUAACGGUCCUAAGGUAGCGAAAUUCCUUGUCGGGUAAGUUCCGACCUGCACGAAUGGUGUAACGAUCUGGGCGCUGUCUCAGCCAUGAGCUCGGUAAAAUUGUGGUCCCGGUGAAGACGCCGGGUACCCGCAACGGGACGGAAAGACCCCAUGCACCUUCACUACAAUUUAACAUUGACAUUGGAUACAGGAUGUGUAGGAUAGGUGGGAGGCUUUGAAGCGGCGUCGCUAGGCGUCGUGGAGCCAACGUUGAAAUACCACCCUUUCUGUAUUCGGUGUCUAACCCCGCUCAGCGGGGGACAUUGUUUGAUGGGUAGUUUGACUGGGGUGGUCGCCUCCAAAAAGGUAACGGAGGCUUUCAAAGGUAAGCUCAGUACGCUUGGUAACCGUACGUGGAGUGCAAUAGCAUAAGCUUGCUUGACUGUGAGGCAGACAAGCCGAGCAGGGUCGAAAGACGGAUAUAGUGAUCCGGUGGUUCUGCAUGGAAGGGCCAUCGCUCAAAGGAUAAAAGGUACGCUGGGAUAACAGGCUGAUCUCCCCCAAGAGCUCAUAUCGACGGGGAGGUUUGGCACCUCGAUGUCGGCUCGUCACAUCCUGGGGCUGGAGAAGGUCCCAAGGGUUCGGCUGUUCGCCGAUUAAUGUGGCACGCGAGCUGGGUUCAGAACGUCGCGAGACAGUUCGGUCCCUAUCUGUUGUGGGCGUAGGAAUUUUGAGUGGGGCUGACCUUAGUACGAGAGGACCGGGUUGGACUAGCCUCUAGUGAAUCUGUUGUUCCGCCAGGGGCAUUGCAGAGUAGCUACGCUGGGAAUAGAUAAGCGCUGAAAGCAUCUAAGUGCGAAACUAGCCACGAGAUGAGAAUUCCAUAUAGGGCCGUAGAAGACUACUACGUUGAUAGGAUAUAGAUGUAAAGCUGGCGACAGCAUAGUCGAGUAUUACUAAUAACCC
rnacentral:rRNA from 1 species